GGCAGGCUAGUCCAGUGGUUAGAGUGCCAGUCUGGGAUUUUGGAAAACUAGGCUCAAUUCUUUGCUCUGCCA
rnacentral:tRNA from 1 species